rnacentral:rRNA from 1 species
CGGCGGACGGGUGAGUAAUGUCUGGGAAACUGCCUGAUGGAGGGGGAUAACUACUGGAAACGGCAGCUAAUACCGCGUAACGUCGCAAGACCAAAGAGGGGGACCUUCGGGCCUCUUGCCAUCGGAUGUGCCCAGAUGGGAUUAGCUAGUAGGUGGGGUAACGGCUCACCUAGGCGACGAUCCCUAGCUGGUCUGAGAGGAUGACCAGCCACACUGGAACUGAGACACGGUCCAG